UACGUAGGGCGCAAGCGUUGUCCGGAAUUAUUGGGCGUAAAGAGCUCGUAGGCGGCUUGUCGCGUCGACUGUGAAAUCCCGCGGCUCAACUGCGGGUCUGCAGUCGAUACGGGCAGGCUAGAGUUCGGUAGGGGAGACUGGAAUUCCUGGUGUAGCGGUGAAAUGUGCAGAUAUCAGGAGGAACACCGGUGGCGAAGGCGGGUCUCUGGGCCGAUACUGACGCUGAGGAGCGAAAGCGUGGGGAGCGAACAGG
rnacentral:rRNA from 1 species